UACGGGGGGGGCGAGCGUUGUUCGGAAUUACUGGGCGUAAAGGGUUUGUAGGUGGCCUGCUAAGUCAGACGUGAAAUCCCUCAGCUUAACUGGGGAACUGCGUCUGAUACUGGCGGGCUUGAGGACAGGAGAGGAACGCGGAAUUCCAGGUGUAGCGGUGAAAUGCGUAGAUAUCUGGAGGACACCGGUGGCGAAGGCGGCGUUCUGGACUGUUUCUGACACUGAAAAACGAAAGCCAGGGGAGCAAACGGG
rnacentral:rRNA from 1 species